AGAGUUUGAUCCUGGCUCAGAUUGAACGCUGGCGGCAUGCUUUACACAUGCAAGUCGGACGGCAGCACAGGGAAGCUUGCUUCUCGGGUGGCGAGUGGCGAACGGGUGAGUAACAUAUCGGAACGUACCGGGUAGCGGGGGAUAACUGAUCGAAAGAUCAGCUAAUACCGCAUACGUCUUGAGAGGGAAAGCAGGGGACCUUCGGGCCUUGCGCUAUCCGAGCGGCCGAUAUCUGAUUAGCUGGUUGGCGGGGUAAAGGCCCACCAAGGCGACGAUCAGUAGCGGGUCUGAGAGGAUGAUCCGCCACACUGGGACUGAGACACGGCCCAGACUCCUACGGGAGGCAGCAGUGGGGAAUUUUGGACAAUGGGCGCAAGCCUGAUCCAGCCAUGCCGCGUGUCUGAAGAAGGCCUUCGGGUUGUAAAGGACUUUUGUCAGGGAAGAAAAGGCCGUUGCCAAUAUCGGCGGCCGAUGACGGUACCUGAAGAAUAAGCACCGGCUAACUACGUGCCAGCAGCCGCGGUAAUACGUAGGGUGCGAGCGUUAAUCGGAAUUACUGGGCGUAAAGCGGGCGCAGACGGUUACUUAAGCAGGAUGUGAAAUCCCCGGGCUCAACCCGGGAACUGCGUUCUGAACUGGGUGACUCGAGUGUGUCAGAGGGAGGUGGAAUUCCACGUGUAGCAGUGAAAUGCGUAGAGAUGUGGAGGAAUACCGAUGGCGAAGGCAGCCUCCUGGGAUAACACUGACGUUCAUGUCCGAAAGCGUGGGUAGCAAACAGGAUUAGAUACCCUGGUAGUCCACGCCCUAAACGAUGUCAAUUAGCUGUUGGGCAACUUGAUUGCUUGGUAGCGUAGCUAACGCGUGAAAUUGACCGCCUGGGGAGUACGGUCGCAAGAUUAAAACUCAAAGGAAUUGACGGGGACCCGCACAAGCGGUGGAUGAUGUGGAUUAAUUCGAUGCAACGCGAAGAACCUUACCUGGUUUUGACAUGUGCGGAAUCCUCCGGAGACGGAGGAGUGCCUUCGGGAGCCGUAACACAGGUGCUGCAUGGCUGUCGUCAGCUCGUGUCGUGAGAUGUUGGGUUAAGUCCCGCAACGAGCGCAACCCUUGUCAUUAGUUGCCAUCAUUCGGUUGGGCACUCUAAUGAGACUGCCGGUGACAAGCCGGAGGAAGGUGGGGAUGACGUCAAGUCCUCAUGGCCCUUAUGACCAGGGCUUCACACGUCAUACAAUGGUCGGUACAGAGGGUAGCCAAGCCGCGAGGCGGAGCCAAUCUCACAAAACCGAUCGUAGUCCGGAUUGCACUCUGCAACUCGAGUGCAUGAAGUCGGAAUCGCUAGUAAUCGCAGGUCAGCAUACUGCGGUGAAUACGUUCCCGGGUCUUGUACACACCGCCCGUCACACCAUGGGAGUGGGGGAUACCAGAAGUAGGUAGGGUAACCGCAAGGAGCCCGCUUACCACGGUAUGCUUCAUGACUGGGGUGAAGUCGUAACAAGGUAGCCGUAGGGGAACCUGCGGCUGGAUCACCU
rnacentral:rRNA from 2 species